ensembl:antisense_RNA anr-57 ncRNA
GGGAACUAAAAUGUCCAUGACAUCAAAACAAGCUCCACCCAUAUCUUGGCUCUGUUGCUUUUACAAAUGGUUUAGUACGUUUAAUGUUUUUUUUUUUUUUUCUUUUCUUCAUAUUUUUGACUUAUUUUUUUCUGUUUCUAUUAGCCCACCGGACGAUAGCCGUCGCCUAUUAUCGUCUGCCAUCAUCACGAUGUUGAUCCACGCAAAAUCUUUGUUUUAUUUAGAUUUUAUUUAUUCUCACAUUUGUUUGUCAGCUACAGACUACGAAAAUCGGAAUUUGGUUUUUUUAUAAAGAGGUUUUUUUCCUGAGAAUAGUCUGGCUUAUGUAAUUUCUAAUCUAUUGGCUUCAUGUUCCACCUGAAACUUUAACUUGCAAUUACUCCCAGUCUCCGCAUGUUUCUCGAAUCAUAAUUCCUCUCGUUUUCUAAUUUCUUUGUUCCGAUGUUCACGUGUUCCUCUUUAUCUUUUGAACAAACCAGAUGAAAAAUGUUCAA